GGGAGAUAGCUUAUCUUGUCGAUGGACUCUUUCAUCUAGCCGAAGACAGAGAACCACAAGUCCAGAGGAGCACUUAGACAGAAAGACUGAGACUUGAGAGAGAAAGAGAGAUGCGAAGCUUUACUCUCUCACAUACAGCUUUAAAGCUACAUUCACUGCCUCCAUGUCCUAAACCUCUUAAGGCCCACGCUUAGCUUACUUCCUUCUAGUUCUCUUUCUAAGAAUCGUAACUCCAAUCUUUCCUUUCGCAACCUAUGUCUUAUUUUCUCUGGGUAUCUCUUCUUUUGCAACUUCUCCCUCUUUCUUUUAUGCUCCGUUGAGCUUCAAGUUCCUGCAAGAAGUAGUAAUUCUUUUCCGUUUCUCUUAUACUUUGGAUAGUUUCUGUUUGGCUUUUGCUGUAGAAGACAAUUAAUAUCAUCAACUAUGAACUAAUGUAGGAAAUGCAGUUUUAGAAUGGAACCAAUGGGAUAACUAGUUGUUGUAAUUUUUAAUCGAAAUGCAUAGGAGAACUAUAAUUGAAUUAGCAAUUUCUGUGUGUAGUAAAGGGAAGGAGAGGAUGCAUUUCUAAAUUUGAGUUUGCCAUGACCAAAAUUUCAUGUGCAGGUAUCCAAGGCAACAAUGGUGUAAGAACCCCACUGAAGAGGCAAUUAAACAUGUUCAGCCAACAGUUUCCAAUAAAGGGAUGCCCUCGUAUUAUUUCUUUACAUUCAAUUUUCCUCUUUGCUUAUUUUGCACUGUGCUUUUGGGACAAGAUUGAAUUUUAGUUUCUGAUGUUCUUCGGUACAAUAAAAAUUGCAGACAAGUACUUGAAGUGAAAAAAAUUCUACUUUUAUUGUUGUCAAGAGUGGCUAAUUGAUGCUUUCAGUUAAAGGUUUAAUUCUCGCUUGAACCACCAUGUGAAUUUGACCUAAUCACACUAAAAAUCCUAAUCUUUUUCGACAUUUUGCACUUAGUCCAGUGGUUUCAAUUUUGAAUAUCAAAAUUUAAACCAUUGGAUUAAAACGCAGCACGUGAAAAAAAUUUAGAUUUUUUAUCUGAUUAGGCAAGCAAAUUUCUUAUAAACCUAGGGAAAAAAGAAACUAUAUGAUUAACUUUCAGAUCUUUUAUCAGUUAAAAUCAGGAUUUCUCAAUUUCAAAUGUUAAUAUUGGAGGUAGGCCAAGCAUAUCUAUCAAAUAUUCCCAAACCCUUCCUUAUUUCUUGUCAUAAAUGUUUUACUGGAAUUUUUUGUUGUCAUGUACUAGGAUGUUACCUUUGACAUAGGAGGUCAAGGGCCUUGAUUGCUGGAACUUCCAAGCAACUACAGAAUCAAUGCUGAUUUUGGAAGAUAUUUGUCUCUUAGAUAAAUCACCUGCAAACAUAACUCAACGAGGGAAUGUCAAAUGGUGGCUUCCACUAAAUCAUAUGGUGGUUUGCUAAAGUUUCUGCUUCUUUUAGUGUACCUGACACCUCAAGGAACUCAACAGGCCAUAGUAUCUUUUGGAAUCUUGAAUAUGAUGCUGCAAAAAAUUAUACUAAUCCACAAAAGCAAGCAAGCGGGAAAGAUUUAAAAGCUCAAAAUGAAGCGCAGAGCACCUUUAAUGAAACAGUGCAUACCACUGGCCAUCUAUAGAACUAAAAAAACAAAGUAAAAAUGCCCAGCAUCCUCUACAGCAAAGAUUAGAAAGAAGCUCAGUGUUGAAGAGCAUGUAGUUGUAAUAAACUUGUAAGCUAGUUCUUUAAUUUGUUAGGUAGAUUUUUCUAUAACUUACUAGAAUUCUGUAGAAGCAAGUUGAUACACAUAUUUUAUAUUGGCAUUUUAUGUCAAUUUUGUAUCCAUUUUGCCCUUUUAUCUUAGAGUUUUAU
rnacentral:misc_RNA from 1 species